rnacentral:rRNA from 1 species
UCGGGAGGCAGCAGUGGGGAAUAUUGCACAAUGGGCGCAAGCCUGAUGCAGCCAUGCCGCGUGUAUGAAAAAGGCCUUCGGGUUGUAAAGUACUUUCAGUCGUGAGGAAGGUGUUAAGGUUAAUAACCUUAGCAAUUGACGUUAGCGACAGAAGAAGCACCGGCUAACUCCGUGCCAGCAGCCGCGGUAAUACGGAGGGUGCGAGCGUUAAUCGGAAUUACUGGGCGUAAAGGGCACGCAGGCGGUUAAUUAAGUUGGAUGUGAAAUCCCCGGGCUUAACCUGGGAAUGGCAUUCAAGACUGGUUAGCUAGAGUCUUGUAGAGGGGGUAGAAUUCCAUGUGUAGCGGUGAAAUGCGUAGAGAUGUGGAGGAAUACCGGUGGCGAAGGCGGCCCCUGGGACAAAGACUGACGCUCAUGUGCGAAAGCGUGGGGAGCAAACAGGGAUUAGAUACC